rnacentral:rRNA from 1 species
GAUGAACGCUGGCGGCGCGCCUAACACAUGCAAGUCGAACGAUUAAAGCACCUUCGGGUGUGUAUAAAGUGGCGAACGGCUGAGUAACACGUGGGCAACCUGCCCCUUUCAUUGGGAUAGCCACGGGAAACCGUGGAUAAUACCGAAUACUUCGAGACUUCCGCAUGGAAGACUCGAGAGAGCUCCGGCGGAGAGGGAUGGGCCCGCGGCCUGUUAGCUUGUUGGUGGGGUAACGGCCUACCAAGGCAAUGAUGGGUAGCUGGGUUGAGAGACCGACCAGCCGGAUUGGGACUGAGACACGGCCCAGACUCCUACGGGAGGCAGCAGUGGGGAAUCUUGCACAAUGGGCGAAAGCCUGAUGCAGCGACGCCGCGUGCGGGAUGAAGGCCUUCGGGUUGUAAACCGCUUUCAGCAGGGACGAGGCGAAAGUGACGGUACCUGCAGAAGAAGCCCCGGCUAACUACGUG